rnacentral:rRNA from 1 species
UACGUAGGGUGCAAGCGUUGUCCGGAAUUAUUGGGCGUAAAGAGCUCGUAGGCGGUUUGUCACGUCGGAUGUGAAAUCCCGGGGCUUAACCUCGGGUCUGCAUUCGAUACGGGCUGACUAGAGUUCGGUAGGGGAGACUGGAAUUCCUGGUGUAGCGGUGAAAUGCGCAGAUAUCAGGAGGAACACCGGUGGCGAAGGCGACUCACUGGACACAUAUUGACGCUGAGGUGCGAAAGCGUGGGGAGCAAACAGG